GAUGAACGCUGGCGGCGUGCCUAAUACAUGCAAGUCGAGCGAACAGACGAGGAGCUUGCUCCUCUGACGUUAGCGGCGGACGGGUGAGUAACACGUGGAUAACCUCCCUAUAAGACUGGGAUAACUUCGGGAAACCGGAGCUAAUACCGUAUAAUAUAUUGAACCGCAUGGUUCAAUAGUGAAAGACGGUUUUGCUGUCACUUAUAGAUGGAUCCGCGCCGCCUUAGCUAGUUGGUAAGGUAACGGCUUACCAAGGCAACGCUGCGUAGCCGACCGGAGAGGGUGGUCGGCCACAUGGGAGCGGGGACGCGGACCAGAGUCCUGCGGGACGCCGCAGUAGGGUACCGGCCGCAAUGGGGGAGAGCCUGACGGAACGACGGGGAGUGAGAGGUGAAGGUCUUCGGAUCGGAAAACUGUGUUAUGGGGGGAGAACAAAUGUGGAAGGAACUGUGGACGGCGUGACGGUACCGGAUCAGAAAGCCACGGCUAACUACGUG
rnacentral:rRNA from 1 species